CUGGAUUCUUUCUCCGCUACUGAGACACGGCGGGUAGGUCCACAGGCAGAUCCAACUGGGAGUUGAAGUGUGAGUGAGAGUGAAGAGGAACCAGCAGGCUUCCGGAGGGUUGUGUGGUCAGUGACUCAGAGUGAGAAGGCCCUCGAAGUCGUCGUCCCUCUCAUGCGGUGCCACGCCCAUGGACCUUCUUGUCUCGUCACGGCCAUAACUAGGGAGGAAGGAGGGCCGAGGAGUGGAGGGGCUCAGGCGAAGCUGGGGUGCUGUUGGGGGUAUCCGAGUCCCAGAAGCACCUGGAACCCCGACAGAAGAUUCUGGACUCCCCAGACGGGACCAGGAGAGGGACGGCAUGAGCGACACACACAAACACAGAACCACACAGCCAGUCCCAGGAGCCCAGUAAUGGAGAGCCCCAAAAAGAAGAACCAGCAGCUGAAAGUCGGGAUCCUACACCUGGGCAGCAGACAGAAGAAGAUCAGGAUACAGCUGAGAUCCCAGUGCGCGACAUGGAAGGUGAUCUGCAAGAGCUGCAUCAGUCAAACACCGGGGAUAAAUCUGGAUUUGGGUUCCGGCGUCAAGGUGAAGAUAAUACCUAAAGAGGAACACUGUAAAAUGCCAGAAGCAGGUGAAGAGCAACCACAAGUUUAAAUGAAGACAAGCUGAAACAACGCAAGCUGGUUUUAUAUUAGAUAUUUGACUUAAACUAUCUCAAUAAAGUUUUGCAGCUUUCACCAAA